UGUUUGUGCAUUUUGUCCAGUUCUUUGU
rnacentral:piRNA from 1 species